rnacentral:rRNA from 1 species
UACAGAGACUGCAAGCGUUAUUCGGAUUCACUGGGCGUAAAGGGUGCGCAGGCGGCCAGGUGUGUGAGGCGUGAAAGCCCGGGGCUUAACCCCGGAAUUGCACCUCAAACUACAUGGCUAGAGCAUUGGAGAGGGUAGCAGAAUUCAUGGUGUAGCAGUGAAAUGCGUAGAUAUCAUGAGGAAGACCAGAGGCGAAGGCGGCUACCUGGACAAUUGCUGACGCUCAGGCACGAAAGCGUGGGGAGCAAAAGGG